rnacentral:rRNA from 1 species
GAUGAACGCUGGCGGCGUGCCUAAUACAUGCCAGUCGAGCGAACAGACGAGGAUCUUGCUCCUCUGACGUUAGCGGCGGACGUGUGAGUAACACGUGGAUAACCUACCUAUAAGACUGGGAUAACUUCGGGAAACCGGAGCUAAUACCGGAUAAUAUAUUGCACCACAUGGUUCAAUAGUGAAAUACGGUUUUGCUGUCACUUAUAGAUUGAUCCGCGCCGCAGUAGCUAGUUGGUAAGGUAACGGCUUACCAAGGCAACGAUGCGUAGCCGACCUGAGAGGGUGAUCGGACACACGGGAACUGAGAGACGGUCCAGACUCCUACGGGAGGCAGCAGUAGGGAAUCUUCCGCAAUGGGCGAAAGCCUGACGGAGCAACGCCGCGUGAGUGAUGAAGGUCUUAGGAUCGUAAAACGCUGUUAUUAGGGAAGAACAAAUGUGUAAGUAACUAUGCACGUCUUGACGGUACCUAAUCAGAAAGCCACGGCUAACUACGUG